UGCCAAUGCCGGUCCCAAGCCCGGAUGAGAAAAGUGGAGGGAGCUGUUAUUGUCGAGUGUAGCUUUUUGGAUGGAUCAAAAUUGGGAAUCCUAUUAGACUCGACUCCUGGUGGGGACAUCAGUAUUGGGUACCAUGGGCAUCACCUGAGAAUUGUUCCGCCAUCAAUGCAUAAAUUAAAUUUAAAUGCUGAUGGAAGGAGGCAUCACUUGAGCAUUCGGUUGAUUUAAAAUUGCGUCAAGAAGGUUGAUUUAAAAUUGCGUCAAGAAGAAUUGGAAUGUUUCGGCAUGGAACUAAAAUUGCGUCAAGAAGAAUUGGAAUGUUUCGGCAUGUUGUUCCAUGCAGUCCGGUCGAUUUAAAAUUUUGGUGGUGUGUUGUUCCAUGCUGUCUGCUUUUUUCUAGAAGGGGCGUCGAUUUAAAAUUUUGGUGGUGUGUUGUUCCAUGCUGUCUGCUUUUUUCUAGAAGGGGCGUCAAGAAGAAUUGGAAUGUUUCGGCAUGUUGUUCCAUGCAGUCCGGUUGAUUUAAAAUUUUGGUGGUGUUGUUCCAUGCUGUCUGCUUUUUUCUAGAAGGAAGUCUGCUUUUUUCGUUCCGUCCCAAUCAUGAAAUAAGUUCUUUUUUUCUAGAAGGGAGUCUGAGAAUGGUUCAAUUGGUUUGUGAAGGGAGUCUGCUUUUUUCAUCCCAUCCCAAUCAAGAAAUAAGUUAAAUUUCAACUGCUUUUUUCUAGAAGGGAGUCUGAGAAUGGUUCAAUUGGUUUUGUGAUUGGUUGGGGAGAUUUCAGUUUUUCUAGAAGGGAGUCGUUGCAAGUUGAGAUUUCAGUUUUUCUGGAAGGGAGUCGUUGCAAGUUAGACUGUUGGUUUUAUUUAUUUAUUUAUUUUAUUUUAUCUCCGUUUGCUACGUGCUUCCUUUGUUAUUUGUUUCGCGCUUCUGCAUUCUUCUGCAUAUUAUAAUGCAACCUCUACUCUCCUUUGAUUUGUGGGCUGUCAAUCAUGUUCUGGGCAACUGGCCGUUCAAGGUGGACGAUAUGUUCCCGUAUUAUUUGGCAUGAUGCUGAUCUGAAGUUUGGAGUUUGCUUUGCUAAUUUAAUGCUACUGAGUUUUCAUCAUUUUUAGAAAAUGUAGAUAAUUCAUUGUUUUGAAAACGAGAAAUCUAUAUCUUUUAUCAUCAUCUUUGUUGACAAAUAAAUUAUCUAUAUUCUUUUAUUGCUAAAUUAUCUACGAGGAUUAAUUCAUUGUUUUGAAAACGAGAAAUCUAUAUCUUUUAUCAUCAUCUUUGUUGACAAAUAAAUUAUCUAUAUUCUUUUAUUGCUAAAUUAUCUACGAGGAUAAAUUGUUAGGGUCUAUCUAUAUUUUUUUAAUUUAUUACAAUAAUAUUUUUUAUUUUGUUAUAAUAUAUUAUAUUAUGUUACAUAAUAAUGAUAAUUUUUUAUAAUAAUAGAUUAAUUAUAGUAAAAUAAUAAUAUAUAAUAUAAUAUAAAUAAUAUAUAAUAUAAUAUAAAUAAUAUAUAUUAAUUUAUUUACAUAAAAAAAAAAUAAGAAUUGGAUUAUGUUAUCCAUACAACAUCAUGCAUUUUGUUUCAUAAUAAAUUUUUUUCAAUUUUUUAAGCAAAUAAGAAUUGGAUUAUGUUAUCCAUACAACAUCAUGCAUUUUGUUUCAUAAUAAAUUUUUUUCAAUUUUUUAAGCAAAAGAUGGUAAAAUCCACUGUGAAUUCGAGAUCAUGAAUUACAUUUGGGAAAAUUACGUUGGCAGGUUUUCUAUGAGUUGAUGGCAAGUGAGUGAUACAGGCCUCUCAGGGAGAAGAUUUUCUAUGAGUUGAUGGCAAGUGAGUGAUACAGGCCUCUCAGGGAGAAGAUUUUAUCAGGGCAAACUUUAAUAAUGGCACCUGGUAGUGGAUGGAAGGUGGGUGCUAGAUCUUUCCAUCAUGCAGGUGCUUGUGCAUUGGGCGCUCUGUUUCUGUUGGCGAUUCAGCAUCUUGCUGGGGGUGCUAGUUCCGUAUUUAGCUGAUUUGAUGGAAAGAUUUUUCAUGCGGGUGGCACUUCUGUUGGGGAUUCAGCAUCUUGCUGGUGAGUCAAUGCCAAACUGCUCAAAAUCCUUUGCUUGAAGAUAAGAAGAUAUCUCAAAGCCGAAACUAAGCACAAAAUCCCAGAGAGAGCAUAAUGGUUGAUACUCACGGAGCACAAUAGUUGAUACGUACUUUAGUUGAUUGAUUUAUAUUUUGAAUUGAAGGAAAAAAUUGAUGAAAAAAUUGAUGAUUUUGCCUCAUCCGCAGUCCCAGGUCUUCUUCAUUGACCUUAUCCUUAAAUCUCCGUUCCCCUCUCACUUCUUUCCUAUCAACUGCUUUAGCUUCAUCUUUAUUUCUCUUUGCCCCUGACUUGACACUAUCGCUAAAUCUCCUCCUUUCUUUCAGCUUUUUCUUGGUUUCGGCAUUGCUUAUGACUUCUUCACUACCACAAAAUAAGGCUACGACAGCAGUUGAAAACUGCUUCUGUAGUCUAAAAAAUCACUACCAUUAUCUAUGAUGGUCUAAAAAAUCACUACCAUUAUCUAUGAUGGCGGUUAGAUAACUGCGGCCAUAGACAACUGCAGCUACUAUGGCCGUCGUUACAAGUCUAUGACAGCGGUUUUUUGGGAUACGACAGCAGUUGUGUUAAUCGCUAUCAUAGAAAGAUAUGGCAGUGGUUUUGCAACCAUUGCUAUGGCAACCGCUGCCAUAGAUGCUACGGCAGUGGUUUGGCAAUCGUUGCUGUACAGCUAUCUCAGUGGUUGUCCAACCACUACCCUAGAUACUACAAUAGCGGUUGGCAAACUGCUGCCGUAGCCUUUGAUUGUGCUAACCACUGCCAUAGCCUUUGACUGCCAACCACUGCUGUAGUCUUUGAUCAGUUAAAAUGGCCAAUAGAUAAUGGACGGCGGUGAGGGGUGGUGGUCUGGCCCAUCGGGGUGGCGGCAGUGGGGGGCGGUGGUGGCAGGCGGGCGGCGGUCGGGGGCAGGCUGCGGGCGACGUCGACGACGGUGGAGCCCGAGUAGAGAGAGAUCGCAAAAUGCUUAAGCCCAUGCUGUUGUUGGUUGGGGCGGCGGCAGCAACGGGGGGAGGUCAAGGGCGGUGGUCGGGGGUCCGAUCGGCGGGCGGCGUCGACGGCGGUGGAGCCCGAGUCGAGAGAGAUCGCCAAAUGUUCAAGCCCAUGCUGUUACUGGUUGUUGCUGGUUGUCUACUUAAGUAAUUUUAUACAUAUUAUUUAUUUCUUUGACAACCAAUGUGGGACUAUCAUAAUCAACCAUAUAGAUAAACGUUGCUAUAGAUUAGCCUAUGGCAGCGGUUGGUGAUAACCGCUGUUGUAGGUCCAAUCUAUGGCAGCGGCUGGUGAUAACCGCUACCAUAGGUAGAGACAUGGUAGCAGUUAUACCUAACCGCUAUCAUAAGUACGAUAUGAUAGUGGUUAGUAAAUUAUUGUUAUAGACCUAUAGUGGCGGGUAUUAUGCAAUCGCUGCUAUAUAGGUAAAAUAUAUUUUUUUUAUUUUCUUUGAAUAUGAUAUAAUUUUAAAAUUUAAAAUCUAUCUUCAUCGUUCAUUAUCUAAAUAAUUAUUGUUAAUAAUUAUUGUUAAAGUAUCGCCACAAAAGAUUGGCUUGAUCCGACAGUCCUAGAUAUAUCAAUCAUUAAAAAUUAAUUUCAACGGUCAUGAAUGGUCGCAUGAUGAUUUGAUAGAUAAAGACCACCGAUGGAUCUGAAAAUUUACAACGAUGAUCUCGCUAUCAGAGACCACCGAUGGAUCCGAAAAUUUGCAAUGAUGAUCUCGAUGAUAUUGUAUUACAUUAUCAAAAUUUCACUUCAAUCGGACAUCAUUAUCAUGAAAAAUGAGUGAUAAAAAGGUUAAACGACGUCUGAUUAUAGGGCAAUUUUUUAUAUAAGUGAUCUUUGCUAUUUUGAUCAUGUUGAUCAUAUCCUAUCGUAUGAUACAGCAUUGUACCGUAUGGGCAUCUUUAAAUACUGACGGCGGGCAUACCUUGUACUCGGCGUGCUUGUGGCAGUAGACGUUACCCAUCACGGUGCGCAGCUAGUCAGUCAGAGUAUGGUGUCUGAGUGACAUGAUCUCGAUGUGGCCUGUCAAAAUAUCAUGACGGUCAUGUUCGGUGCUCAGCUUGUAAAUAGAGGCUCGUAUUGUCGGAGUUGGCAAGAUAAAACCGUGUGGGAGGGGGGGUGGUGCCCCGUGGUCCAAUGGUGUAAUCGGCCGUACAUCGAGUAUGAAUUCAGUUACACGCCGAGCAUUAUUCGAUGUAGUGGACCGUUGGUAGCAUGUAAAACCUAAUCGGCUCGGAGUAUGCUGCCCUGAGUCGGUCGGAUGUCUACGAUGGUAGCCGGCAUCGACCCUGCCAGUCGGGACUCGUCAAUUCGAGCGAGCAUUAUUCAGUGUAGUGGACCGUUGGUAGCAUGUAAAACCUAAUCGGCUCGGAGUAUGCUGCUCUGAGUCGGUCGGAUGUCUACGAUGGUAGCCGGCAUCGACCCUGCCAGUCGGGACUCGUCAAUUCGAGUCGGGUUGAGUGGCAGUAGCUUAGUCAGUGUAGCUCCUUUAGUUGGUUCGAAGACGAGAAAGCUUGAUAGUCGGCUAAGCGAUGGGGAUCUAUCCUAAUAUAUGGGUAGAAAAAGAUAGCCUAAUCAAAUAGCUGAGAAGGAUCUUAUAAAUUGGGUGGAAUGGUGUCAUGAAACAAAAAGAAAGAAACCAUGAAAAGAGUUAUUGCUAAAGGGGCACCGUAAAUCUGAAAGGAUAAAACUCUAGUCUUGUGGGAGCAAAACUAUAAGAAUCUAAUUUUCUGAUUGAACAAACACACCAAAAAAAAAAAGGAAUACAAUUUGUUAGUUUUGAAAAAAAAAAUAGUAAGCCAGUGAUAUGUGAUAUACUUGUUUCUUUUGAUGUGUAAGUUGUAACUGAACUUGUAUAGACAAAUCAAGAAUGCAUCAUCCAAAACCAUAGUAUAAACAUUCGCUUCAAUCUUUCUAUCCUUUGGCUUGAUCCUAGCUUGGUCACUAUUGCUAAAUCUUCGAGGUGAAUAGUCUCCUGAUGUCAUGAUGUACAUAUGUCGAGGAUAUGUCAUGCUAUUUGAGGAUGAAUGAGCUUUUUUUGCCCUUCCUAUUUCCUCUAUCCUGUCUCCCUUUCACAGCUUAGGACCCUCAAUUUGAGAAUCAAUAAGCCAUCCAAAUUAAACAUCAAAACUAUUGAACAUAAUCUAUAAUGAAUCUUCAAAGUCAACAUAUUUUCCUCAGAUGGUCCUUCUUAAUUUUUUGGUUCCUUCUUAAUUAACCAUAAAAUCUGUUGAUGCACUUAUUGCUCUUGAAGAGAUCGAUGGCUCUGUUCCAUGGUGGUUGUAAACAAGGAAAAUAACUAUGUUCUGUUUUAUGCUGGUUGUCAGUUGGUACGAUAUGAUACCGUAUCAUAUCGGACUGUACCAUAUCAUAUCGAUCGGAUAGUUCGGACUGAUACUGUACUAAACCAACUAGUUCCGUUUGAUCCAGCCUAUUUUUCGAAAAUCCGGCUUGAGUCGGACCUACUGGUUCGGUUCGGUAUGGUACGGAAUGCACUGGCCGGUUUGGGCCGGUGUGGAAUACCAUGAUGCUAUCUAACCAUCACAUAUUAGUAUUCAAAUUGACUUAUCCUUCUGCCUCUUAAAUGUGUCCAUAUAUGUCUGUGUUCCAUUCAUCUCAUUUGAAUAUGCAUUCGUGAUGGAGUCCAAAUCUACACCAGGGUUUGCUUCCAUUGCUUCAACCCUGCAAUGAUAUAUGUACCAUUAGCUAGUUGUUUUUGAUUAUAAAAAAUUGUGCAAUCACCCUGUCAACUGUUCUUUGCAUUCGCGCUUCCACCUUUAAGGGUAAUGGUUAUCUUUGGCUGCUUGCUACCCUUUCCUUAUAGAAAACUGGUCUAUGGGACUAGCUUACUUAAGAAUCUGCACUAGCACUGGAAGGAAUUUGAACACCACAAAACCCCCCAGCUAAUCCAGACCUCCAAAUUCUAUAUGGUACCGCUCAAGAUUUUUAAUACCGGUGCCAAACCCCAUACAGUUUUUUUCAUCAGGAUAGGAUGAUGGAGUACAAUUCUAGUGCUGGCAAAAGACACUAAAAUUGAUAGCUUUAGAAAAAUGAAAAGCUAUUGGUGCCAGCUUUGCAUCACAGUGGUACAAUACUUAUUGUUCCAUCAUAUAAUUCCGACAGUUGCUGAAUCCAUGGUACUGAUACUUAUCCCAAAGUGACCCUCAGAUGUUCUAGAUUUGCAUGUUUCUUGAAAUCCUCAAGAUGUGUGUUUGGUUAGUUUAAUUGUAAUUCUUAUGUUCCUGUCUCGCAGCUUUAUCAAAAGCCAUAUCACUAGUGUCAUUGUUUUCCCCUAUUGAAUUGUAAUUUUUUUUCUUUCUUUUUAGUAAAACAUGUGCAUGUGUAAGUUUCUUCACAUUUGUAAAAACUUAAUGAUAGAGUGCCACAUCUUGAAUCCUGGCUAGGUGUUGCUGUGGGUGGGACUUCCCAUUAUGUAUAGUACUUAUUCAACUUCAACAAGCUUGCUACUCUUUUUUUUUAAAAUAUAUAUUUCUUUUUUUGUUUCCUGCACAUGUUUUUAUUUCCUUACUGAUAUUUUGUUUGAAAGCCUAUGUAAGCAUAUUUUCAUUCUAAAUUUGCAGUACAUUUUAAUAGAAUAGUUAAGAACAUAAUGUGAAGCAUAUUCAGUUAAAAAACCUAUGUUAUUUCACUAUUUCUUUUUAUUUCUAAAGAAUCAUUCCUUAGUUGUGUUAGAAAUAUUUUUCGAACCCGUACGGUAGUUGUUUUAUUUUAAAAUAUUUUUUUAAAAAAGAAAAGCAGUAAAACAUAUUUCAUUGACCCCUUAACACUAAGUUGAUGAUGCAUGCAUGUCCAUUACUCUUUUAUUGGCGGUAGGAAUUGGAAGUUUUGGAGAACUUGAGAAGAAGCUGGAGUAGUUAAGCUGCCUCUCACUCCCAUGGUGGGCGAGGGAUGACAGUGUUCAUAUCCCUCCCACUAGUCCAUUCAAAGGAGAAGUGCAGAAUAUUGGAUGAUGUGAAUCGUCUUCGUGUUCCCCGAGAUUCCCUCGUAACAAGUUAAAGGUUGAAGUGAAAUCUCUCCUUUUCUCUUUUGAUUUCUUCCCACUGACAAAUGAAGUAGUAACUAUUUGAUGCAAGGACUAUUGAAUAUUAAAGAAAAUCUUGCCUGAUUUUAAGGGACUAAAUUUAUAGCUUGCCAAAAUAUGUAGAUGUUAAACCAAAAGAAAAAUCUAAGAUGCAAGAUUUAUAAUCAGUUUCAGCAUAAAGUGCCAGGACCAGUCAAGGUUGACAGAAAUUGAAAAUUUCGAUCAAUUUCUAGCUGGUUUCGCCCAAAACUGAUCUGAUUAAAUAAGAUCAGCUUACGCUGGAACGUCAAACAUUGGUAGAAACCCUUUCAACCUAGCAUCGAGAUGUAAAGAGACCGAGAUGUAAAGAGACCAUUGUUGCCCCUCUAUUAUAUUCUCCACUGACUUUCCAAGUGAUCUUUGCUCCCAUGGUCAGAACAGAUCUUGUUUUGGUGAUGCCACCUCUAUUUUUAGAACUAGGGCUAAGGGAUUAAUCUGUUGUUUCAUCUAAUGUGCUUUUGAGUUCUAUGCUUAGCAUGUUAUUAUGAUAUGAUGGUGAACUUUGCAGACAUGAGAGAGCUUGCAACAAAAUUACAGGUAAACCCUAAAUAGAAAAAAAAUCAGUAAAUGAGGUUUUGACAGCCAACCCUAGUAGUUCGGAUAUGGCUUUAUGUUUAUGGGCAUGGUUGUAUAUUUGAUUAAUAAUUGUCUCUUUACCAUUCUUUCUUUCUUUUUUUUUUUUUUUAAUUUGUCUUCGAUGCUUAAUUAUAUUUAUGGUCUCUUCGGUUGCUAGAUCUUAGAUAAACAAGAUUUUAUAAAACAUGCUUUACUAAGUUUUCUAAUUCUUAGGUUUGGUGAGAUGCCAAGUGGAGCAUGAGGUAAAUUGAGUGUAUUUGAUCUUAUGGGAGACCUAGGGGGAUCAUGUUUUUCAAAAAUGUGCUUCUUAUGAGUGCACAUCCCACAUGGAAGAAAUCAAAUUUAUAUUUCCUCUACCCCCUCGAAGAAAAGCUUAUGCCACCUAAACUUCUUCCUUUUCCCUCUAGUCAUGCUCUUUUCUCCACCUGUGCCACUAACAUCUUUUUCUUUUCUCUACAUGUCCGCCAUUCAUUCUCCAUGCUCAUCUCAAUCUCUAGCAGGGUCUUGAACCCACGGCCGAUAAGGUACUGCUAUAGGGUUUGAUAUGUUACCAAAAUGAUACAUGGCAUAAUUUCUACCUCACGUCAGCAGCAUACUUUCUACUGAUACAAAGGUUGUAUAAUAUCGGUAAACUAACAAUGUGAUGCCCAAUACCAAUACAUCAAACCAUGCUUCCCAUCCACCCAUUCUUCAUCUCCGAUCAAAUAAUACAGUAAAACCAAUGAGGAACCACUACCAUUCUAAAAACAUAUUUUUAUAAUUGGGUUUCUUUUUUUUUUUUUUUUUGGGUGUGGGUGGGCAAGUUACUGAAUAGUUUUGAAAACCAAAUAGCUUCUUAGAUUUCUACAAAAUUUAAAAUAGUGAAAAUAUAUACAAUAUAAUAUUCAAGAAUAAUCAUGUUAGUUUGUUAAUGUUUCCAGGUACUUCUUGUUUUUCAUCUUUUUCAUUUUUAGAGAAAGUUAUCGCUAUUUAAAAUUUGUUUUGCUCCAUUCAGGAUUCUCAAUGGGCUCAUGGUCUGAUGCUCCAAUAGAUAUCGUACAAGUAAUCGUAGAAAAAAUAAAUGAGCAUUCUGACUCUCUCCAUUUUGGUGCUGUUUGCAAGCCAUGGCGCUCUGUUUAUAUGGAGAACCGUCAUCGUCUUCCUUACAAACUUCCGAUGCCAUCCUCGCCGACUUGCGGCUCCAUUGCUUUUGUCCUUGUUUGAGGAAGAUUCAGAUUCCCGUGAGUUUAUUUGCCUGUCCGAUGAAAAGGUUUAUGGUGGAUUCUUUCUUCCGCAGGUUAUUAAUAAAUGGAUAUGUGGAUCUUUUCAUCUCUUGAAUCCAUUUACAAGGGCUCAAGUACGUCUGCCACCUCUAAGUUCUUUCAUAAGACACGAUAAAGAAUCUAUUGAACCAAUUGACUUUCCUUAUAUAGUUAAAGCAAUUAUAUCUGCAGAUCCUACAACACAUUCAAGUGACUGUGUAGUUCUGGCUAUUACUGGGAACUUUCAAGCAUUGUCUUAUUGUAGAGUGGGAGAUACCAAGUGCACGAACAUAGAAGAAUCUCCUGUUAUACUCGAA